UAGGGAAUCUUCCACAAUGGGCGAAAGCCUGAUGGAGCAACGCCGCGUGAGUGAUGAAGGCCUUCGGGUUGUAAAACUCUGUCAUUCGGGACGAACCGGAGUCUGAGGAAAUGCAGACUCUCUGACGGUACCGGAGGAGGAAGCCCCGGCUAACUACGUG
rnacentral:rRNA from 1 species